CAGUCGCCGCGGUAAUACGAAGGGAGCUAGCGUUGUUCGGAAUUACUGGGCGUAAAGCGCGCGUAGGCGGUUACUCAAGUCAGAGGUGAAAGCCCGGGGCUCAACCCCGGAACUGCCUUUGAAACUAGGUGACUAGAAUCUUGGAGAGGUCAGUGGAAUUCCGAGUGUAGAGGUGAAAUUCGUAGAUAUUCGGAAGAACACCAGUGGCGAAGGCGGUUCACUGGACGCGUAUUGACGCUGAGGUACGAAAGCGCGGGGAGCAAACAGGAUUAGAUACCCCCGUAGUCCCUGUCUCUUAUAC
rnacentral:rRNA from 1 species